rnacentral:rRNA from 1 species
CUACGGGGGGCUGCAGUGAGGAAUAUUGCACAAUGGGGGGAACCCUGAUGCAGCAACGCCGCGUGGAGGAUGACGCAUUUCGGUGUGUAAACUCCUUUUAUAUGUCAAGAAAAUGACGGUAGCAUAUGAAUAAGUACCGGCUAACUCCGUGCCAGCAGCCGCGGUAAUACGGAGGGUGCAAGCGUUAAUCGGAAUCACUGGGCGUAAAGGACGCGUAGGCGGGUUGGAAAGUCAGGUGUGAAAUCCUACAGCUUAACUGUAGAACUGCACUUGAAACUUCUAAUCUAGAGUAUGGGAGGGGGAGAUGGAAUUAGUGGUGUAGGGGUAAAAUCCGUAGAUAUCACUAGGAAUACCUAAAGCGAAGGCGAUCUCCUGGAACAUUACUGACGCUAAGGCGUGAAAGCGUGGGGAGCAAACAGGAUUAGAUACCCCCGUAGUC